CAAAGCUCAAGCAAAAGUUUUAGCGAAGAGUUUUGGUUUUCUACACCUAAUGAAGGUAAUUUAGAACAAUGCUCAAGUGAUAUUUUUAGACAAGAAACAAGUGUUCUUAAUGACACCGAUUGUCAGUUGAAGCAAAAUUC
rnacentral:lncRNA from 1 species